rnacentral:rRNA from 1 species
AGCGAACGCUGGCGGCAGGCCUAACACAUGCAAGUCGAACGAACCUUUCGGGGUUAGUGGCGGACGGGUGAGUAACACGUGGGAACGUGCCUUUAGGUUCGGAAUAACUCAGGGAAACUUGUGCUAAUACCGAAUGUGCCCUUCGGGGGAAAGAUUAAUCGCCUUUAGAGCGGCCCGCGUCCGAUUAGCUAGUUGGUUGAGGUAAUGGCUCACCAAGGCGACGAUCAGUAGCUGGUCUGAGAGGAUGAUCAGCCACAUUGGGACUGAGACACGGCCCAAACUCCUACGGGAGGCAGCAGUGGGGAAUCUCGCGCAAUGGGCGAAAGCCUGACGCAGCCAUGCCGCGUGAAUGAUGAAGGUCUUAGGAUUGUAAAAUUCUUUCACCGGGGACGAUAAUGACGGUACCCGGAGAAGAAGCCCCGGCUAACUUCGUG